AAGGAUCAUUAUCGAGUUAGGGUCCUCUGGGCCCCAUCUCCAACCCUUGUCUAUUCUACCAUGUUGCUUUGGCGGGCCCGUCUUUAACAAGACCGCCGGGGACUCUGGUCCCUGGCCCGCGCCCGUCAGUAGCCCCUACAAAUCCUUCUGAAUAGUGAUGUCUAAGUAUCAAACAAAUAACUAAAACUUUCAACAACGGAUCUCUUGGUUCUGGCAUCGAUGAAGAACGCAGCGAAAUGCGAUAAGUAAUGCGAAUUGCAGAAUUCCGUGAGUCAUCGAAUCUUUGAACGCACAUUGCGCCCUUCGGUAUUCCGGAGGGCAUGCCUGUUCGAGCGUCAUUAUCAACCCUCAAGCCCGGCUUGCUGUUGGGUCUCACCGGUGAGAUAUACGGUGGAUCCAAAAGAUAAUGGCAGAGUCCGCGGGACCCUGGAUGCAGCGAGCUUCUAGCACGCGUCUGGAUGGUCUCCGGCCUCGGUCUCAACCAAAGAAUUUUCCAGGUUGACCUCGGAUCAGGUAGGGAUACCCGCUGAACUUAA
rnacentral:rRNA from 1 species